rnacentral:rRNA from 1 species
UGCAGUCGAACGGAUCCUUCGGGAUUAGUGGCGGACGGGUGAGUAACACGUGGGAACGUGCCUUUUGGUUCGGAACAACUCAGGGAAACUUGAGCUAAUACCGAAUGUGCCCUUCGGGGGAAAGAUUUAUCGCCAUUAGAGCGGCCCGCGUCUGAUUAGCUUGUUGGUGAGGUAAAGGCUCACCAAGGCUACGAUCAGUAGCUGGUCUGAGAGGAUGAUCAGCCACAUUGGGACUGAGACACGGCCCAAACUCCUACGGGAGGCAGCAGUGGGGAAUCUUGCGCAAUGGGCGAAAGCCUGACGCAGCCAUGCCGCGUGAAUGAUGAAGGUCUUAGGAUUGUAAAAUUCUUUCACCGGGGACGAUAAUGACGGUACCCGGAGAAGAAGCCCCGGCUAACUUCGUGCCAGCAGCCGCGGUAAUACGAAGGGGGCUAGCGUUGCUCGGAAUUACUGGGCGUAAAGGGAGCGUAGGCGGAUAGUUUAGUCAGAGGUGAAAGCCCAGGGCUCAACCUUGGAAUUGCCUUUGAUACUGGCUAUCUUGAGUAUGGGAGAGGUUAGCGGAACUCCGAGUGUAGAGGUGAAAUUCGUAGAUAUUCGGAAGAACACCAGUGGCGAAGGCGGCUAACUGGCCCAUUACUGACGCUGAGGCUCGAAAGCGUGGGGAGCAAACAGGAUUAGAUACCCUGGUAGUCCACGCCGUAAACGAUGAGUGCUAGUUGUC